UACGUAGGGUGCGAGCGUUAAUCGGAAUUACUGGGCGUAAAGCGUGCGCAGGCGGUAAUGUAAGACAGAUGUGAAAUCCCCGGGCUUAACCUGGGACCUGCAUUUGUGACUGCAUUGCUGGAGUGCGGCAGAGGGGGCUGGAAUUCCGCGUGUAGCAGUGAAAUGCGUAGAUAUGCGGAGGAACACCGAUGGCGAAGGCAAUCCCCUGGGCCUGCACUGACGCUCAUGCACGAAAGCGUGGGGAGCAAACAGG
rnacentral:rRNA from 1 species